rnacentral:rRNA from 1 species
UACGAAGGGGGCUAGCGUUGCUCGGAAUCACUGGGCGUAAAGGGUGCGUAGGCGGGUCUUUAUGUCAGGGGUGAAAUCCUGGAGCUCAACUCCAGAACUGCCUUUGAUACUGAAGAUCUUGAGUUCGGGAGAGGUGAGUGGAACUGCGAGUGUAGAGGUGAAAUUCGUAGAUAUUCGCAAGAACACCAGUGGCGAAGGCGGCUCACUGGCCCGAUACUGACGCUGAGGCACGAAAGCGUGGGGAGCAAACAGG